rnacentral:rRNA from 1 species
UACAGAGGUCCCGAGCGUUGUUCGGAUUCACUGGGCGUAAAGGGUGCGUAGGUGGUUGGGUAAGUUUGAUGUGAAAGCUCAGGGCUUAACCCUGAAAUGGCAUUGAAUACUACUUAACUGGAGGUUUGGAGGGGGACUGGAAUUCUUGGUGUAGCAGUGAAAUGCGUAGAUAUCAAGAGGAACACCAGUGGCGAAGGCGAGUCCCUGGACAACACCUGACACUGAGGCACGAAAGCUAGGGAGCAAACAGG